GUUACAAACGUCACAUCUUUGAUAUUUUGUUUUUAAAUAAUUAUUUUACCUUAUUUUCUUUAAUAUUUCAUUAAUAAUUAUCUUCUUCUAUUUGGUUUACCCAUUUUCCCCUUUAAUAAAAAUCGGUUGGCGUCCAUUCUAUAAUAGGCAACCCUAUUUACAUUGUAUCUUCUCUCGUGUUCCAUGUUCGUUAUUUCAAAUUUCGGUCCAAGGUUCGUUGUCAUGUCAUUUUAAUGACAAUGACAACCCCCAUAUCUCAUUCUCAAAAUGGGGGUGGAAAUGUUUUAAAAAGCAAAGCAGCUUCAAAAAUAAAUCAUUUUAUUUCAACAAAUCAUCUUCCUCUUGGGUUUUUGGGAAUAAAGAUCACAGUCCUCCCUCCGGGAGCUUCAAGCCAUCCACACCGGUGAUGGAACUAGGGCUAUACCACAACAAUGGACCAUGAAAUCUAGGCUGCAACACUGAACAUCUUUUGCUGCACUGACCUAGGGCCUCAACAUCUGCCCAGGUCAAGAGAAGUCCACAGCAGUACCAUACGACAUCAAGAAGAUACCAUCAGCUACCAAAAGCCAUAAGUAUAAUCCAGAAUUGUUAGUUUUUGGCAAGAAUUUAAAUACAUUUGUUAAUGCAAUUUACUAAGUCAUUUUAUUUAUUAUAUCUUUAUGAACAAUAAACAUGAUUAGUUAAAA